CAGGUGAAAGCUGGAAUAGAAGCUCAUUCGGAAGCCAAAACCAGCAGACUCCUGUGGGCUGGAUUGGCACUGCUGUCCAUUCAGGGUGGGGCACUGGCCUGGCUCACGUGGUGGGUGUACUCCUGGGAUAUCAUGGAACCAGUUACAUACUUCAUCACAUUUGCAAAUUCUAUGGUCUUUUUUGCAUACUUUAUAGUCACUCGACAGGUGAGUAGUUUGUUAGGAAAAUGGUAAGUUAGAACAUCUUUGCAAAGAAUGUCUUAUCUAAGCAAUGAGCAAAAAAGCCUUUUUAUUUACUGAAUUACUGCCAUCUGGUUUUUAUGAGCUGGUAAAUUUUUUAUUGUUUUUCACAAGACUGAAUGAAGACUCAGAACACAGAGAAAUUAUAUAUAACUUCUUUGGAGAAGUAAUUAGUGUAACACACAAAUUCCUCCAUUGGGAUAAACAUGUGUUCUCUGUGCCCUCAUUUAUAAAUAAAACUGAAUUUGCAUUGCAAAACAUUCAGUAACAUCAGCUUUGUCUCAUGGUUAUUUAAUAUGCCCAAAAUCUCCCUUUUCUUAUUUCUUCCUUCUUCUUUCCCAUUAUGUAUAAUUUCUCUUCCCAGCUUGCCUGUUUUUGAAAGGAGCAGCAGAUCUUAAAUGAGACUAAAUGUUUUAUUUGUGUUGGCUUAUGCUUACUCAUGGCCAUUGCAAAUAUUUCACUCAUUCAUCUGCCUUCUUUUGCUUUGGUGUUGCUGAGUCAAGUAUCUUUCUUACAGAGGCAUUAUGUUCAUUCAAAACAUGUUAUUUUCUUUUUUUUUUUUAAGGAUUAUACUUACUCAGCUGUUAAAAGUAGGCAGUUUCUUCAGUUCUUCCACAAGAAAUCAAAGCAACAGCAUUUUGAUGUGCAGCAAUAUAACAAGUUAAAAGAAGACCUUGCUAAGGCUAAAGAAUCCCUGAAACAGGUGCGCCAUUCUCUCUAUUUGCAAAUGCAAGUAGAAGAACUCAAUGAAAAGAAUUAAUCUUACAUUUUUAAAUGUCGUCAGAUUUUCCAUUACGUAUUGAUUUUGCAACUUAGGAUGUUUUUGAGUCCCAUGGUUCAUUUCGAUUGUUUAAUCUUUUUUUGUUAUUAAAUUCUUGUAAAACAUAA
rnacentral:sRNA from 1 species